rnacentral:misc_RNA from 1 species
GGAGAUAACUAGUCCACAACUUGUGGUCACCCGUUACCAUCAACACCGCCGAUUUCCAUUGGGUUUUGUUGUCAAACGUCGCGUACUUCGCGGCAGAAAUUACACCAAUCUACGACUGUAGUCCGACUGUUUAUGAAACACUCAUGCACAUAUGGAACAUAUCGCGUGAUCAUAAAUGAUCAAAACGAUAUUGUACAAUAAAAUAUGGUUUCUUUCGAAGAACGAACUAACUUACUCCUUUUACAGACUCACAUUUUCCCAUCUGUAGCGUCACCACGUGUAGUGAGGCCACAUGGUGAAUUACAAUUUUCACAAGUGUACAUAUUCGUCGACGCCGUGCCAACCACUGAAGAAUAUUGGCUCCUGAUUCGAUUAACUGAGUGAUAUUCCAAGAUUCUUCCAAGAUUGAUUCACGUUUGAGGACAUAUUUCCGUAAUUUGAUUUUCAAGAUGGAUUGUCCAAGAUAUGAAAUGGCCCAAAAUUUAUCGGAAGAGAAUUUCAUACAAUAUCUGAAAGACAAUGGAAUCAUUUCGAAUCAGAAGACAUGUAGUUGUGGAAAGGAAAUGAGCAUAAGGCCUUCUCAGCGUGCCAUAGAUGGGGUGGUAUGGAGAUGCCACAAGUGCAAGAAUGCAGUGUCAAUCCGUACCAAGACUUUCUUGGAGAAGAGUAAGCUUUCUGUGUACAAAAUUUUCAAUCUAAUUUUCGAUUUUAUUUUUGAAAUGCCGGUAACCAGUUCCAUGUCAGCAAACAAUGUCAGUAAAGUCACUGCAAUACAGUGGUAUGAAUAUUGCCGUGAAAUCUGUUUGCAGAAAUUAUUAAGAGAUAAAAAAAAAUUAGGUGGCUCAAAUCAUGUUGUAGAAAUAGAUGAAAGUUUAAUGUUUCAGAGAAAAAAUGAAGCCGGGCGUGUGGUGCAUUCAUACUGGGUUGUUGGUUUCUACGACAACACCCAGAAAAAAGGACAUCUGCAACAUGUUGAAGAUAGAAAGACAGAGACACUGGAGUCACUCAUUAUCAACAACGUAGAACCAGGGUCUAUAGUGUUUACAGACCAGUGGGCUAGUUACCGGAAUCUAGAAAGCCUUGGAUACAUACAUGGAACUGUGGACCCAGAGAGUGGUGUAUGUGGAAAUCAAGUGGAGGGCUACUGGAACCGAAUUAAGAGUAGACUGAAAUACAAAUUCACGUCGAGUGGAGAUAUGCGAUGGUUACACGUCAACGAGGCCAUGUACAGAGACCUUUAUAAUAUGACGUAUGACCGAGCAUGGGAGAAUUACAAGACCUUCCUAAAACACAUAGCAGAAAUUUAUCCACAAUGAUUUUUGAACGGCUAUGUCUCCUGCUCCACUUGACUGCUUCCAGUGUUUUCUGCCUUUCUAUCAACACCAAAAUUAAUUUCUCUUCCAAAGAGAGAGAGUGGCAUUAUCUCUUUCUAUCACAUUUUCAUUAGAAUGUAUCGAGACACUAUGUUGUCACAAAACUGUUCCGUGUGUAUCACUUAGGUUGACGAGGGAAGGAUGACCUCACUUUGCAAAUACCUUAAGGGCACAGUAAGUGUGUCUAAAGCCAGCUGGAGACGAUGUUCUCCUGGGCUACAAGCUACAGUAACACCCACCCUUAGUGGUUAGCCAUAUUGAGAUGGCAAGUAUACCUCACAUUGUUAAAACAUUACUAUCUUGAUUGAUCUGUGACUAAACCUGGAUUUAAUAUAAUUUCAUACAAAAUUUGCUAUCAGUUAUAUAGAUAACUAGCAGUAAUGCCCAUCGUUGAUCAGUCAUUUGACUGCGGCCAUGCUGGAGUAC